GUCGAGGAUCUUUCACAAUGCCCGAAAGGGUGAUGAUGCGACGCCGCGUGGAGGAUGAAGGCCUUCGGGUUGUAAACUCCUGUCAUGAGGGAUGAAAUGUGGGGAUGCUAACAGUAUCCUCACUUGACGGUACCUCAAGAGGAAGCCACGGCUAACUCUGUGCCAGCAGCCGCGGUAAUACAGAGGUGGCAAGCGUUGUUCGGAUUUACUGGGCGUAAAGGGUGCGUAGGCGGCCUUGUGUGUCAGGUGUGAAAUCCCACGGCUCACCCGUGGAAAUGCACUUGAAACUGCAGGGAUCGAGUUCAGGAGAGGUAAGCGGAAUUCUUGGUGUAGCAGUGAAAUGCGUAGAUAUCAAGAGGAACACCGGUGGCGAAGGCGGCUUACUGGACUGAUACUGACGCUGAGGCACGAAAGCCAGGGUAGCAAAAAGGAUUAGAAACCCUAGUAGUCC
rnacentral:rRNA from 1 species